rnacentral:rRNA from 1 species
UCCUACGGGAGGCAGCAGCCGCGGUAUGUACAUCCUACGGGAGGCAGCAGUGGGGAAUAUUGCACAAUGGGCGCAAGCCUGAUGCAGCCAUGCCGCGUGUAUGAAGAAGGCCUUCGGGUUGUAAGUACUUUCAGCGGGAGGAAGGGAGUAAGUUAAUACCUUUG